rnacentral:rRNA from 1 species
AUUGAACGCUGGCGGCAGGCUUAACACAUGCAAGUCGAACGAUGAUUAUCUAGCUUGCUAGAUAUGAUUAGUGGCGGACGGGUGAGUAACAUUUAGGAAUCUGCCUAGUAGUGGGGGAUAGCUCGGGGAAACUCGAAUUAAUACCGCAUACGACCUACGGGUGAAAGGGGGCGCAAGCUCUUGCUAUUAGAUGAGCCUAAAUCAGAUUAGCUAGUUGGUGGGGUAAAGGCCCACCAAGGCGACGAUCUGUAACUGGUCUGAGAGGAUGAUCAGUCACACCGGAACUGAGACACGGUCCGGACUCCUACGGGAGGCAGCAGUGGGGAAUAUUGGACAAUGGGGGCAACCCUGAUCCAGCCAUGCCGCGUGUGUGAAGAAGGCCUUUUGGUUGUAAAGCACUUUAAGCAGGGAGGAGAGGCUAAUGGUUAAUACCCAUUAGAUUAGACGUUACCUGCAGAAUAAGCACCGGCUAACUCUGUGCCAGCAGCCGCGGUAAUACAGAGGGUGCGAGCGUUAAUCGGAAUUACUGGGCGUAAAGCGAGUGUAGGUGGCUCAUUAAGUCACAUGUGAAAUCCCCGGGCUUAACCUGGGAACUGCAUGUGAUACUGGUGGUGCUAGAAUAUGUGAGAGGGAAGUAGAAUUCCAGGUGUAGCGGUGAAAUGCGUAGAGAUCUGGAGGAAUACCGAUGGCGAAGGCAGCUUCCUGGCAUAAUAUUGACACUGAGAUUCGAAAGCGUGGGUAGCAAACAGGAUUAGAUACCCUGGUAGUCCACGCCGUAAACGAUGUCUACUAGCCGUUGGGGUCCUUGAGACUUUAGUGGCGCAGUUAACGCGAUAAGUAGACCGCCUGGGGAGUACGGCCGCAAGGUUAAAACUCAAAUGAAUUGACGGGGGCCCGCACAAGCGGUGGAGCAUGUGGUUUAAUUCGAUGCAACGCGAAGAACCUUACCUGGUCUUGACAUAGUGAGAAUCCUGCAGAGAUGCGGGAGUGCCUUCGGGAAUUCACAUACAGGUGCUGCAUGGCUGUCGUCAGCUCGUGUCGUGAGAUGUUGGGUUAAGUCCCGCAACGAGCGCAACCCUUUUCCUUAUUUGCCAGCGGGUUAAGCCGGGAACUUUAAGGAUACUGCCAGUGGCAAACUGGAGGAAGGCGGGGACGACGUCAAGUCAUCAUGGCCCUUACGACCAGGGCUACACACGUGCUACAAUGGUAGGUACAGAGGGUUGCUACACAGCGAUGUGAUGCUAAUCUCAAAAAGCCUAUCGUAGUCCGGAUUGGAGUCUGCAACUCGACUCCAUGAAGUCGGAAUCGCUAGUAAUCGCAGAUCAGAAUGCUGCGGUGAAUACGUUCCCGGGCCU